UUUAGAAAUAGGACCUGCAACUCUCUAGAGGGCUGGGCCCAUAAGGUGUAAACCUGGCUGCUGUGUUUUGCACUGUGGGAUUGUGGAAGCAGAGAGAUCAUUUUUCAAAGACAGAGAAGGAAGUGUUCUGCGCGUGUCUGAUUGAAGAGACGCCCUGAACAGGCUAAGUGUGAGCAACAAGGCUGUUUAUCCACUGAGAUGCAAGUGGGCUGAGUCCGAAAAGAAAGUCAGUGGAGGGUUGUGGGAGUGGAGUUAGUUUUAUAGGCUUGGAGUAGGUAGUGGAAAGUUACAGUUAGGGGCAGUUUUUUCGGGCAGGGGAAGAAUUUCACAAGGUGCAUAGUCACGAGGUGGGGGAGGUCACAAGGCACAAUAUCACAAGGUGGAUGGAUUAGUUGGGGCAGGAACAUAUCACAAUGGUGCAAUGCUGCAAGGUCAGUUCAUCAGUUAAGGCAGGAACUAGCUGUUUCUUCUUCUUUAGUGGUUCUCCUAGUGCUCCAGGCUUUGUGACUCCAGGAGGCCUGUACGUGUGGGUCACAGGGGUCAUAAUGGCUUGACCAUGGUGCAGCCCAUUCAGAGGACCUUACAGGAAGCAGGCACACAGUAAGGAGACGUGCAGAGCCCUCCCCAGGAUUCUCUCCGCUGCCUAAGGUCUGGAUGCAUAAAAAUCCUUGUGUCCCGGGAAACUCUUCCCCUUUUCUUAGACAAGCUUGGGUUGGUUUAGGUUGCACUCAACCACGCGUCCUAAUCCAGAGUAAAAGGGGACAUGGGAGAAGCCUCCUUCUUACAGAUGAGGCACUGAGGCUCAGAGUGGCCAGGCGCCUUGUUCAAGAUCAUAGGGCCUUUGAGGACUAAUGCUCGCCUGCUCCCUUUCUAGUGAAAUAAUCCAAACAGUAAAGAUCCAUUGUGAGUCCUCCCUCUCCCUCUCCUCUCCUACUCUCCAGAAGUAGCCACUCUUAGUAAGAGUUUGAUGGGGUUUGUAUCAGACCUUUUAAAAAAGGUGUUUAUCAACAUAUAUGUAUACAAUAUUCAUACAGUUAUAUUGGAAAAUGGGAUAUUGACCUCAUUUUUCUGAAAUUCACUUUUUUUCACUCUUCAGAUUGUCAAUAUUGCCAAAUUCUAACUGUGCCUGGUGAAUCUGGUGAUGUAUCUGGGAGGGAAGUGGUGAUUAAGGUCGGGGCCACCUUGAGACCUCGUGUGUCCAGCCUCAAAGGACUGAGGUCAGAAAAUCCUCCGGGCAGGGCUGAGACUUAGAGUCAGGGUGGAGCCUUCCAGGAAGUGGUGCAGCCCCUCUGGGUGGCCGGCCCCUCUGGCUAGCUCUGACCUGGAGGAGUUCAGCCUUUGGUUUCAGUAAAAUCUGCUACCCUGUGGAAUCCUCCCACUGGCCUGUUAUCUCCCCCUUAAUUUCUGGGGCAAAUUGCAUUAAAUGCUUUCCUUCCUCCCACAGUGGGCCAGGCAGGAGAGAGGCUGUUAGCUGCAGGCUAGGGAGUGUAGCCCCGGAUUCUCACCUGGCAACCCCAGUAAUGAGCACUGCAGAGACAGCCACAGACACCCUUAUUGACCAGGAAGAAGUCAGGAGCCCAAAGGCAGAGAACCAAGGGCUGUGGGCCUGGAGAGAACCCAGGGAAGCCUAGACAGCCAGAGGCAGGCAGGCAAUUAAAGGAGGGGAUGGAGUUUUCAAUUAACAGCUCUUCUGCUAGAAGCAGGUAAUUAGCGGAUUAGCAAGGCUGUUAGCAAGGCUGCUUGCUGCCAGUGAGGAACCUGGCAGGUGCUGCCUUGGAGAAGGAGGACCAGACUCCAGAUUCCACAGGAAGGAAAGGACUCUUCGGAGGCAGGAUCCUGAGGGCAGCUGAGAGUCAUGGGACUCAGCAGGGACACAGUGAGCAGGCUGGAAGGGCGGGAGGCAGGCCAGAGGGGAUGGGGCAGUAUAAUCCCACUGUCCCCUGGCCUCGCAGGGUCCCUGGUUUGCAGAGCCCUCCUUGCCUGGGAUGGGCUAAGGAGGCAGUGUAUGAGAAUAUCUGGGGGUCAUGGUGUUGACACCCCUGGAAUUGGCACAUUACUACACAGCUCACACGUUUUCACAGUGGUUUAGGGGGGAAGCUGCAUAAGGCGGGGCUGACAGCAAGGACUUUGACAUUAGACACGCUUCAGUUAAGCCUCGCUCCCACUUCCCAAUCUAGGGGACUAGGGGAUCCUCAGACAGCCCAGAUGUUCCUCAGACUACUCAGCACCUUUCUAGUUAGGCAGGAUCAUGCCAAAUUCUAAAGAAGCCAGUACGCACCUCCAUCUGUGUCUUCCCCUGCCAGGAAGUUGGCAGAGGCCACUGUUCCAGACAGCAGAGCCUCAAUCAGCCUGAAUCCCUGAGCGACCUGCAUGGAGCAGAUUCCCUCGCCAGCCCCCAUGAGUGGGAGUGAGAGGUAAACUACUGCGUUAAGUUAUGAGAUGUUUAGAGCUGUGUGUUACAGCAGCAUAACCAAGCCUACCCUGACUAUUACACAGGGUCAACCUCACCUUUGUAAAAUGGGUAAGAAUGAUACCACCUGGAAUGAUUAUUGUGAGGUUGAGUGAGAGGAUAUAUGACUUGGCUGAAGGGUACACUUAGCUCCUGGACCCCACACCCUCUCCAAAAGCAAGGAAUGUUGCCAUGGACCAAGAGCCAAGCCCAGGGACAUUUGAUUGGCCACUUCUAGCAGAAGAACUCCUGUAAUGCUUAGCAAAGUGUUAAAGGUUGAACACACAGGGGAGGGGCCUGACCUGUAAUGCUUAGCAAAGUGUUUAAGGGUUGAGCACACAUGGGGAGAGGAUGGUGGAGGCCUGGGCUGUGCCCUCUGGAAAGGCUUGGCCAGCUCCCUCUCUCUGGCUUCUCCAGUUCUCUUUUGUCCCCAGUAUGGGGAGAGAGGCUGGGGGCUGCUACCCCAAGUCUUGCUGGCUGGAGCCAUGAGCAUUGCUUGUGGUGGUGCUGGGCUCUGGGAGGGCUUCCCUUGGUUCUUGAAGGCCCCAUGCCAUAAGUGACUCUUGUGACCCCAUUAGCAGCACAACUUUCCCUCUGCCCCCUCUGUCCCAUAGCAGCCUCCAGCUUUGCCUCCUGUCCUGCCACACCUGGAUCCUACCAUCUUUCCGUCAUAAGCCUCCAGCCUGUCCCCUGAGCUGGCCCCACUUCCCUCCAUUUGGGAGAAGCCGUGGAAGCUGCUGACUGUUCUCCCCUCAUUUUUCAGCCUGUUCCCCACUGUUCAUGUUUGGUCUACAACAUCAAACCCAUUUCUUUUUCAGCUGAUCUCAUUUCUCCUGGAGUUUCUGAUGCUCCGAGUCCAAAGCCUGAACAACCGUAUUCUUUUCACUCUCCAAAUACGAAGCCCUCUCACCCUGGCUCGGUGGUUGGCUCCCUGCUCUGAGCCAGCUCACCUGAUCCUUUAGAGGAAGAAUGUCCCAAGCACAGGCUUUAAAAAUGUCCUUCCUAGCUUGUGCAUAUUCUAUUUGCACUUCCCCACUCACUCAAGAAGAUGCCAUUUCCCCCACAAAGCUGGGAGCCUUAAUGCCCUUCUCCAGCACCCAUCCUGCCCACCAUGGCUGAGGUCACAGCUCUGGGCUUUGAAAUGCACAAACACAAUCAGAGGUCAACUCCUGUCAUUUGAGGAUCCCUGAUUAGAAAAGAGCUUGAUAUACAAGCAGGGUAUGUAUGGAAAUAAAAAAAUUAGAAAAAAGAGAAAUAAAACUGGACACACAGAUCGGCAGGGGUUAGCGGUCUCCUUGUCACUGUCACAAACAAACCCCUGUUCUGGUUCAUGCCAGCCACUGCCACCCUUACAACCAAAAGUACAGUCACUAGGCCUGUGCUGUCCAGGGCAGCAGCCACUAACCAUGUGUGCCUGAUGAGCACUGAAAAGGAGCUCAGAAAUGUUGAGAUGUGC
rnacentral:lncRNA from 10 species